rnacentral:rRNA from 1 species
UUAAGCGACUAAGCGUACACGGUGGAUGCCCUGGCAGUCAGAGGCGAUGAAGGACGUGCUAAUCUGCGAUAAGCGUCGGUAAGGUGAUAUGAACCGUUAUAACCGGCGAUUUCCGAAUGGGGAAACCCAGUGUGNNNNNNNNNNNNNNNNNNNNNNNNNNNNNNNNNNNNUGUGUGUUAGUGGAAGCGUCUGGAAAGGCGCGCGAUACAGGGUGACAGCCCCGUACACAAAAAUGCACAUGCUGUGAGCUCGAUGAGUAGGGCGGGACACGUGGUAUCCUGUCUGAAUAUGGGGGGACCAUCCUCCAAGGCUAAAUACUCCUGACUGACCGAUAGUGAACCAGUACCGUGAGGGAAAGGCGAAAAGAACCCCGGCGAGGGGAGUGAAAAAGAACCUGAAACCGUGUACGUACAAGCAGUGGGAGCACGCUUAGGCGUGUGACUGCGUACCUUUUGUAUAAUGGGUCAGCGACUUAUAUUCUGUAGCAAGGUUAACCGAAUAGGGGAGCCGAAGGGAAACCGAGUCUUAACUGGGCGUUAAGUUGCAGGGUAUAGACCCGAAACCCGGUGAUCUAGCCAUGGGCAGGUUGAAGGUUGGGUAACACUAACUGGAGGACCGAACCGACUAAUGUUGAAAAAUUAGCGGAUGACUUGUGGCUGGGGGUGAAAGGCCAAUCAAACCGGGAGAUAGCUGGUUCUCCCCGAAAGCUAUUUAGGUAGCGCCUCGUGAAUUCAUCUCCGGGGGUAGAGCACUGUUUCGGCAAGGGGGUCAUCCCGACUUACCAACCCGAUGCAAACUGCGAAUACCGGAGAAUGUUAUCACGGGAGACACACGGCGGGUGCUAACGUCCGUCGUGAAGAGGGAAACAACCCAGACCGCCAGCUAAGGUCCCAAAGUCAUGGUUAAGUGGGAAACGAUGUGGGAAGGCCCAGACAGCCAGGAUGUUGGCUUAGAAGCAGCCAUCAUUUAAAGAAAGCGUAAUAGCUCACUGGUCGAGUCGGCCUGCGCGGAAGAUGUAACGGGGCUAAACCAUGCACCGAAGCUGCGGCAGCGACGCUNAUGCGUUGUUGGGUAGGGGAGCGUUCUGUAAGCCUGCGAAGGUGUGCUGUGAGGCAUGCUGGAGGUAUCAGAAGUGCGAAUGCUGACAUAAGUAACGAUAAAGCGGGUGAAAAGCCCGCUCGCCGGAAGACCAAGGGUUCCUGUCCAACGUUAAUCGGGGCAGGGUGAGUCGACCCCUAAGGCGAGGCCGAAAGGCGUAGUCGAUGGGAAACAGGUUAAUAUUCCUGUACUUGGUGUUACUGCGAAGGGGGGACGGAGAAGGCUAUGUUGGCCGGGCGACGGUUGUCCCGGUUUAAGCGUGUAGGCUGGUUUUCCAGGCAAAUCCGGAAAAUCAAGGCUGAGGCGUGAUGACGAGGCACUACGGUGCUGAAGCAACAAAUGCCCUGCUUCCAGGAAAAGCCUCUAAGCAUCAGGUAACAUCAAAUCGUACCCCAAACCGACACAGGUGGUCAGGUAGAGAAUACCAAGGCGCUUGAGAGAACUCGGGUGAAGGAACUAGGCAAAAUGGUGCCGUAACUUCGGGAGAAGGCACGCUGAUAUGUAGGUGAAGNUGGAGCUGAAAUCAGUCGAAGAUACCAGCUGGCUGCAACUGUUUAUUAAAAACACAGCACUGUGCAAACACGAAAGUGGACGUAUACGGUGUGACGCCUGCCCGGUGCCGGAAGGUUAAUUGAUGGGGUCAGCGCAAGCGAAGCUCUUGAUCGAAGCCCCGGUAAACGGCGGCCGUAACUAUAACGGUCCUAAGGUAGCGAAAUUCCUUGUCGGGUAAGUUCCGACCUGCACGAAUGGCGUAAUGAUGGCCAGGCUGUCUCCACCCGAGACUCAGUGAAAUUGAACUCGCUGUGAAGAUGCAGUGUACCCGCGGCAAGACGGAAAGACCCCGUGAACCUUUACUAUAGCUUGACACUGAACAUUGAGCCUUGAUGUGUAGGAUAGGUGGGAGGCUUUGAAGUGUGGACGCCAGUCUGCAUGGAGCCGACCUUGAAAUACCACCCUUUAAUGUUUGAUGUUCUAACGUUGACCCGUAAUCCGGGUUGCGGACAGUGUCUGGUGGGUAGUUUGACUGGGGCGGUCUCCUCCUAAAGAGUAACGGAGGAGCACGAAGGUUGGCUAAUCCUGGUCGGACAUCAGGAGGUUAGUGCAAUGGCAUAAGCCAGCUUGACUGCGAGCGUGACGGCGCGAGCAGGUGCGAAAGCAGGUCAUAGUGAUCCGGUGGUUCUGAAUGGAAGGGCCAUCGCUCAACGGAUAAAAGGUACUCCGGGGAUAACAGGCUGAUACCGCCCAAGAGUUCAUAUCGACGGCGGUGUUUGGCACCUCGAUGUCGGCUCAUCACAUCCUGGGGCUGAAGUAGGUCCCAAGGGUAUGGCUGUUCGCCAUUUAAAGUGGUACGCGAGCUGGGUUUAGAACGUCGUGAGACAGUUCGGUCCCUAUCUGCCGUGGGCGCUGGAGAACUGAGGGGGGCUGCUCCUAGUACGAGAGGACCGGAGUGGACGCAUCACUGGUGUUCGGGUUGUCAUGCCAAUGGCACUGCCCGGUAGCUAAAUGCGGAAGAGAUAAGUGCUGAAAGCAUCUAAGCACGAAACUUGCCCCGAGAUGAGUUCUCCCUGACUCCUUGAGAGUCCUGAAGGAACGUUGAAGACGACGACGUUGAUAGGCCGGGUGUGUAAGCGCAGCGAUGCGUUGAGCUAACCGGUACUAAUGAACCGUGAGGCUUAACCUU